AGUGAACGCUGGCGGCAGGCCUAACACAUGCAAGUCGAACGGCAGCACAGUAAGAGCUUGCUCUUACGGGUGGCGAGUGGCGGACGGGUGAGGAAUACAUCGGAAUCUACUUUUUCGUGGGGGAUAACGUAGGGAAACUUACGCUAAUACCGCAUACGACCUACGGGUGAAAGCAGGGGAUCUUCGGACCUUGCGCGAUUGAAUGAGCCGAUGUCGGAUUAGCUAGUUGGCGGGGUAAAGGCCCACCAAGGCAACGAUCCGUAGCUGGUCUGAGAGGAUGAUCCGCCACACUGGAACUGAGACACGGUCCAGACUCCUACGGGAGGCAGCAGUGGGGAAUAUUGGACAAUGGGCGCAAGCCUGAUCCAGCCAUACCGCGUGAGUGAAGAAGGCCUUCGGGUUGUAAAGCCCUUUUGUUGGGAAAGAAAAGCAGCAGGUUAAUCCCCCGCUGUUCUGACGGUACCCAAAGAGUAAGCACCGGCUAACUUCGUG
rnacentral:rRNA from 1 species